UGGCUCAGGAUGAACGCUGGCGGCGUGCUUAACACAUGCAAGUCGAACGGUGAAAGAGAGCUUGCUCUCUGGAUCAGUGGCGAACGGGUGAGUAACACGUGAGCAAUCUGCCCUUGACUCUGGGAUAAGCGUUGGAAACGACGUCUAAUACCGGAUACGAGCUGCGAAGGCAUCUUCAGCAGCUGGAAAGAACUUCGGUCAAGGAUGAGCUCGCGGCCUAUCAGCUAGUUGGUGAGGUAAUGGCUCACCAAGGCGUCGACGGGUAGCCGGCCUGAGAGGGUGACCGGCCACACUGGGACUGAGACACGGCCCAGACUCCUACGGGAGGCAGCAGUGGGGAAUAUUGCACAAUGGGCGCAAGCCUGAUGCAGCAACGCCGCGUGAGGGACGACGGCCUUCGGGUUGUAAACCUCUUUUAGCAAGGAAGAAGCGAAGGUGACGGUACUUGCAGAAAAAGCGCCGGCUAACUACGUGCCAGCAGCCGCGGUAAUACGUAGGGCGCAAGCGUUAUCCGGAAUUAUUGGGCGUAAAGAGCUCGUAGGCGGUUUGUCGCGUCUGCUGUGAAAACUGGGGGCUCAACCCCCAGCCUGCAGUGGGUACGGGCAGACUAGAGUGCGGUAGGGGAGAUUGGAAUUCCUGGUGUAGCGGUGGAAUGCGCAGAUAUCAGGAGGAACACCGAUGGCGAAGGCAGAUCUCUGGGCCGUAACUGACGCUGAGGAGCGAAAGGGUGGGGAGCAAACAGGCUUAGAUACCCUGGUAGUCCACCCCGUAAACGUUGGGAACUAGUUGUGGGGUCCAUUCCACGGAUUCCGUGACGCAGCUAACGCAUUAAGUACCCCGCCUGGGGAGUACGGUCGCAAGAUUAAAACUCAAAUGAAUUGACGG
rnacentral:rRNA from 1 species